GUUGCCUCUCUCCUUUCGGCAGAUUAGCAAGCAAAGAGAAUGGACAUAAGGUGGCAAGAAGGAAUGAAAGAGUGACAACAAUGAAGGUGACUAGGAGCUUCUGUGACAAUGACGUAAUAACCCAGUUGAUGACUCCAGUCUCGAGACUUCAGGUUGCAGAUGCAUGUGACAGCCUCCAAAUUACAGUAAGACCUGACAGCCCGUGGAACUACUGCUCCUUACAACGCACUUUGGAAGUGUUAGUCCAGUUCAAUGAGCACACUUCAAAAAUGAAGACAGUAAGGCCCAGAGAAGGUAAUAAAAUGGGCAACUGUUAAACAUACAUUCAUCUUCUGAACAGUGUUACCCUGAGUCCAGGAGGAAGCUUUCAAAACAGAAGCCCAGCAUCACAAACCUUUCUCAGGACAGACUCUCUCUUCAGCCCCAGACUGGCUACUAAGGAAAAUGACUUUGGAACAAGGAAAGGUGGGGGCUGGUAGGAGCCAUCUCAGUCCUCUCUCAUCUCAUCUUAAUGUCAGGGACAGAUGAAGAAGGGAAAUAAAAACUCACCACGAGAAACAGAGGGCUGAUAGCUACCCAGCAGAUCCUCCAAAACCAUCCAGGGCUGAAGCCAAGCAUUUCCUUCACAUCACUGCAGAACUGAGUGAUGCC